UAAGCGGUGGUAUUGUCAAGCGGCGGUGUUGUCGCCGAAACAAAAUCCUCACCUCUCUCACUUGAGUAUCUUACCUAGUUAUUUUCUGGUCUCAUUUUGCUCUUUUGUAGCUUUGGCAAGUGUGUGUUUCCCAUCCCAGUUUGCUCCUGUAGGUUUUACAGAUACUCUCCACCCUGUGGCUGCAACCCUUCUCAUUUAGUCUACCCUGCGCGCACAACCCAUGUGGAAUUCCUAGUCUUCAGCAGCAUUUGGAACUGCUGAUCUGCGGUCAAUAAGUCUGAGUUCAUCUCAGGCUUAUUGCCCUUCAGUCCCUACACUUUUUGGCCCUGACGGAGACAUGGAUUACACCAGAGAACACUGCUCCAGUAUGGGAUCACAAGGAUGACAGAACUACUUCCCUCUGCUAAAACCAGAGCCGCCAUGACCAUUGGCUGGAUUGUUCCAUCAAUCGAAUUUCAGGAAGUAGCUACCCACAUGAGCAAGAGAGGAUGAGGUGGAGAGUGAGUAAGAUCACUGGAAAGCAGAAUGCUACCACACCACCACAGGACCCUAGACUUAUUACAGCCAAUGCUUAUGAACUGGAUAUUGUAUGUGAAUUGCAUUUAUAUCAAUGACACUAACAAAAUGGUUGGAUUGUUCAGCAACAUGUGCAGUAAAUGCUAAUAUGGCUUUGGUGAUGAAAGGUACAUCAUGUAUUUGUCAUCUCCCUAUCAGGGCCUUCGGAAAGUAUUCAGACCCCUUGACAUUUUCCACAUUUUGCUAUGUUACAGCCUUAUUCUAAAAUGGAUUAAAAAAAAAAUAAUCCUCAUCAAUCUACACACAAUACCCCAUAUUGACAAAACAAAAUCAGGUUUUAUAAAUUUUGCAAAUUUAUAUAAAAAUAAAAAAACAGGAAUGUUACUUACAUGAAAAUUCAGACCCUUUGCUAUGAGACUCGAAAUUGAGCUCAGGUGCAUCCAGUUUCCAUUGAUCAUCCUCGAUGUUUCUACAACUUUGGAGUCCUCCUGUGGUAAAAUUCAAUUGAUGUGACAUGAUUUGGAAAGGCACACACAUGUCUAUAUAAGGUCCCACAAUUGACAGUGCAUAUCAGAGCAAAA